AUUGAACGCUGGCGGCAGGCCUAACACAUGCAAGUCGAGCGAGCGGCGGACGGGUGAGUAAUGUCUGGGAAACUGCCUGAUGGAGGGGGAUAACUACUGGAAAAGGUAGCUAAUACCGCAUACCAUCAGAUGUGCCCAGAUGGGAUGAGCUAGUGGGUGGGUGAACGGCUCACCUAGUCGACGAUCCCUAGCUGGUCUGAGAGGCUGACCAGCCACACUGGAACUGAGACACGGUCCAGACUCCUACGGGAGGCAGCAGUGGGGAAUAUUGCACAAUGGGCGCAAGCCUGAUGCAGCCAUGCCGCGUGUGUGAAGAAGGGCUUCGGGUUGUAAAGCACUUUCAGCGGGGAGGCGUUACCCGCAGAAGAAGCACCGGCUAACUCCGUGCCAGCAGCCGCGGUAAUAC
rnacentral:rRNA from 1 species